UACGUAGGGCGCAAGCGUUGUCCGGAAUUAUUGGGCGUAAAGAGCUCGUAGGCGGCCUGUUACGUCUGCUGUGAAAUCCCGGGGCUUAACCCCGGGCGUGCAGUGGAUACGGGCAGGCUGGAGGCAGGCAGGGGAGAACGGAAUUCCCGGUGUAGCGGUGAAAUGCGCAGAUAUCGGGAGGAACACCGGUGGCGAAGGCGGUUCUCUGGGCCGGUACUGACGCUCAUGCACGAAAGCGUGGGGAGCAAACAGG
rnacentral:rRNA from 1 species